CAAACAGGUUGGACUAUAUUGCAUUCUACCAGCAAUAGGAGAGCUCCAGUUCUUCCCCAUCCUUGCCAACACAAGAAACAAAUAAACUGAAGCACCAAGAGAAGCUGAGGUGACCAUGGAUUACUCUGAGACACCUUACUCCAUGCCAAGGAAGAAGACUCCCACCAACCAGAGAUUCUGGGUGGCAAGAAUAAGCAGACGUUUUCUGCUAACUUGAUUUGGACAUGCAGCGUGACCGAGGAGGACUAGUGUUCUAGAUGCCGAAGUCAGAGGAUGCUGCAACAUGUCUGGGUCAACGUGGAUGACAAUGUGGAACCUCAGAGCCACUGAGCAGCCCAUAUUUGACGUGUAGUAUGAGUGGGAAAUAAACUUUGGUUUCUAUCUGAA